rnacentral:rRNA from 1 species
AAGGAAUAUUGGGCAAUGGACGCAAGUCUGACCCAGCCAUGCCGCGUGAAGGAAGACGGCCCUAUGGGUUGUAAACUUCUUUUCUCAGGGGGUAAACUCCGGAACGUGUUCCGGACUGAAAGUACCUGAGGAAUAAGCAUCGGCUAACUCCGUGCCAGCAGCCGCGGUAAUACGGAGGAUGCGAGCGUUAUCCGGAUUCAUUGGGUUUAAAGGGUGCGCAGGCGGAUAUAUAAGUCGGAGGUGAAAUUCUGAUGCUCAACAUCAGCCGUGCCUUCGAUACUGUAUAUCUAGAGUCAAGUUGGAGUAGGCGGAAUGUGUUGUGUAGCGGUGAAAUGCUUAGAUAUAACACAGAACACCGAUCGCGAAGGCAGCUUACUAAACUUUGACUGACGCUCAUGCACGAAAGCGUGGGGAUCAAAC